UGUUUUUGGUGGUGCAUGGCCGUUGGUGGUGCGUGGGUUGACCUUUCUAGCGUUGAUUCAGCUAACGAGCGAGAUUAUCGCCAAUUAUUUACUUUGCCGAAGUCCUUCGGUUAAAGUUCUAAUUGGGACUCCCUGCGAUUUUAGCAGGUGGAAGAGGGUAGCAAUAACAGGUCCGUGAUGCCCUUUAGAUGCUCUGGGCUGCACGCGUGCUACAAUGUUAGGAUCAAUAGGACUGCGAGCCUGAGAGGGUGCGCUACUCUUAUAAUCCCUAACGUAGUUGGGAUUGACGUUUGUAAUCAGCGUCAUGAACCAGGAAUCCCUUGUAAAUGUGUGUCAACAACGCACGUUGAAUACGUCCCUGCCCUUUGUACACACCGCCCGUCGCUCCUACCGAUUGGAUGACUCGGUGAAAUCACCGGAUGCUUACGAGCAGAAAGUGAUUAAAUCACGUUAUCUAGAGGAAGGAGAAGUCGUAACAAGGUAACGGUAGGUGAACCUGCCGUUGGAUCAGUU
rnacentral:ncRNA from 1 species